GAUCCUGGCUCAGGAUGAACGCUAGCUACAGGCUUAACACAUGCAAGUCGAGGGGCAGCAUGGUCUUAGCUUGCUAAGGCCGAUGGCGACCGGCGCACGGGUGAGUAACACGUAUCCAACCUGCCGUCUACUCUUGGACAGCCUUCUGAAAGGAAGAUUAAUACAAGAUGGCAUCAUGAGUCCGCAUGUUCACAUGAUUAAAGUNUUCGUCGUAGA
rnacentral:rRNA from 1 species